ACCUACGGGGGGCAGCAGUGGGGAAUAUUGGGCAAUGGGCGCAAGCCUGACCCAGCAACGCCGCGUGAAGGAAGAAGGCUUUCGGGUUGUAAACUUCUUUUAUGAGGGACGAAACAAAUGACGGUAUCUCAUGAAUAAGCCACGGCUAACUACGUGCCAGCAGCCGCGGUAAUACGUAGGUGGCAAGCGUUAUCCGGAUUUACUGGGUGUAAAGGGCGUGUAGGCGGGACUGCAAGUCAGAUGUGAAAAUUAUGGGCUCAACCCAUAACCUGCAUUUGAAACUGUAGUUCUUGAGUGAUGUAGAG
rnacentral:rRNA from 1 species